rnacentral:rRNA from 1 species
AUCGAACGCUGGCGGCAGGCCUAACACAUGCAAGUCGAGCGGAUGAAGGGAGCUUGCUUCUGGUUUCAGCGGCGGACGGGUGAGUAAUGCCUAGGAAUCUGCCUGGUAGUGGGGGAUAACGUCCGGAAACGGGCGCUACUACCGCCUACGUCCUGAGGGUGAAAGUGGGGGAUCUUCGGACCUCACGCUAUCAGAUGAGCCUAGGUCGGAUUAGCUAGUUGGUGGGGUAAAGGCCUACCAAGGCGACGAUCCGUAACUGGUCUGAGAGGAUGAUCAGUCACACUGGAGCGUCAACACGGACCAGGCGCCUGCGGGAGGCAGCAGUGGGGAAUAUUGGACAGUGGGCGAAAACCUGAUCCAGCCAGGCCGCGUGUGUUAAAAAGGUCUUCGGAUUGUAAAGCACUUUAAGUUGGGGGAAAGGGCAUUAAGUUAAUACCUUGCUGUUUUGACGUUACCGACAGAAUAAGCACCGGCUAACUUCGUG